UUCUUUUUGCCCUCUGGAGUAUUUGCUUACUAGAGUGACAACCUCUUCAACAACAGGAAGCUCCCCAUUAACCACUAAUUGAGUGAAAACCUUUUCAUGGUAUCAAAGCCUUGCGAAGACUCACGUCCCACAAUAGCACUUCCCUCAAUUACCAGUAUCACCACACAAACCCCUUCCCAGAAUUUUUCGUCGCUCACAACCAAUGUUAAUCAGGAUCAUCUUCUUAGACCGUUAUAAAUAUAUUGUGUGGGAAUCACAAAUUCUCCCAGUUCUAAGGGGUAACGAACUCGAGGGAUAUGUGGAUGGUACGCACAAGUGCCCUCCAAAGUUCA
rnacentral:lncRNA from 1 species